AAAAACAUUACACAGAUAUGUAGCGUACGUUGAGGAAAUCCUCUUGGCUCAUACUAUGCCAUAUGCAUGAAGCUGCAAAUUCUUGCAGUGGAUGAAGGAGUUUCCAGUUCGGUCUCUAAGGACAUUAAUGCCAUUUCAACGCCAGUCUGCAAACUGUAGCUGGUACACUGCCUGCUAAGCUGGAAAGCCUCUAAACCAAGAAACACAGAGCUCUUUCUAUUUCAAUCGUUUAAGGGUGGUGAAACUGAAAGGAAGAAUAUAGACAACAUGCCGAGACUUUAAUAGCUAAUUAGGUAUCUCAAAAUCAUUAUAACUAAGAAUUUUAUAACCAAAAAUGUCGAACAAUCAAAUUUUCAUGGCUCCUUACUUUUUAUUUCCCUUUCACGUUCAAAGCAUCAACCAUGUCAUUCAUUUUCCUGGUUU